rnacentral:pre_miRNA from 11 species
AAAGUAUGAUGCAGCCUUAGAUGACUUGCCAGCUCAUGUGUUAUUUUGUUCUUUUAAAAGGGAUUCAGCUCGACAAAGCUGGUACGUUGUUUUUGGCUGCAAGUUUCUUUCU